rnacentral:rRNA from 1 species
CCUUGACAUACUAAGAACUUUCCAGAGAUGGAUUGGUGCCUUCGGGAACUUAGAUGCAGGUGCUGCAUGGCUGUCGUCAGCUCGUGUCGUGAGAUGUUGGGUUAAGUCCCGNAACGAGCGCAACCCUUUUCCUUAUUUGCCAGCGGGUCAUGCCGGGAACUUUAAGGAUACUGCCAGUGACAAACUGGAGGAAGGCGGGGACGACGUCAAGUCAUCAUGGCCCUUACGGCCAGGGCUACACACGUGCUACAAUGGUCGGUACAAAGGGUUGCUACCUCGCGAGAGGAUGCUAAUCUCAAAAAGCCGAUCGUAGUCCGGAUCGCAGUCUGCAACUCGACUGCGUGAAGUCGGAAUCGCUAGUAAUCGCGGAUCAGAAUGCCGCGGUGAAUACGUUCCCGGGCCUUGUACACACCGCCCGUCACACCAUGGGAGUUUGUUGCACCAGAAGUAGGUAGUCUAACCGCAAGGAGGACGCUUACCACGGUGUGGCCGAUGACUGGGGUGAAGUCGUAACAAGGUAGGCGUAGAUGA